rnacentral:rRNA from 1 species
CCCUUAGAUGUUCUGGGCCGCACGCGCGCUACACUGAUGCAUUCAACGAGCAUUUGCUUGGCCGAGAGGUCAGGCUAAUCUUUGAACGUGCAUCGUGCUGGGGAUAGAUGAUUGCAAUUAUUCAUCUUCAACGAGGAAUUCCUAGUAAACGCAAGUCAUCAGCUUGCAUUGAUUACGUCCCUGCCCUUUGUACACACCGCCCGUCGCACCUACCGAUUGAAUGGUCCGGUGAAAUUCUCGGACGACGCCAGGGAAUGUUAAUUCGGCACCUGACGUUGAAAGUUAAUUAAACCUUACCAUUUAGAGGAAGGUGAAGUCGUAACA